rnacentral:rRNA from 1 species
GAUGAACGCUGGCGGCGUGCCUAAUACAUGCAAGUCGAGCGAACGGACGAGAAGCUUGCUUCUCUGAUGUUAGCGGCGGACGGGUGAGUAACACGUGGAUAACCGACCUAUAAGACUGGGAUAACUUCGGGAAACCGGAGCUAAUACCGGAUAAUAUUUUGAACCGCAUGGUUCAAAAGUGAAAGACGGUCUUGCUGUCACUUAUAGAUGGAUCCGCGCUGCAUUAGCUAGUUGGUAAGGUAACGGCUUACCAAGGCAACGAUGCAUAGCCGACCUGAGAGGGUGAUCGGCCACACUGGAACUGAGACACGGUCCAGACUCCUACGGGAGGCAGCAGUAGGGAAUCUUCCGCAAUGGGCGAAAGCCUGACGGAGCAACGCCGCGUGAGUGAUGAAGGUCUUCGGAUCGUAAAACUCUGUUAUUAGGGAAGAACAUAUGUGUAAGUAACUGUGCACAUCUUGACGGUACCUACUCAGAAAGCCACGGCUAACUACGUG